AUUGAACGCUGGCGGCAGGCUUAACACAUGCAAGUCGAACGAGUGGCGGACGGGUGAGUAAUGUCUGGGAAACUGCCUGAUGGAGGGGGAUAACUACUGGAAACGGUAGCUAAUACCGCAUACCAUCGGAUGUGCCCAGAUGGGAUUAGCUAGUAGGUGGGGUAAUGGCUCACCUAGGCGACGAUCCCUAGCUGGUCUGAGAGGAGGACCAGCCAAUCUGGAACUGAGACAGGGUCCAGACUCCUAGGGGAGGCAGCAGUGGGGAAUAUUGCACAAUGUGCGCAAGCCUGAUGCAGCCAUGCCGCGUGUAUGAAGAAGGCCUGCGGGUUGGAAAGUACUUUCAGCGGGGAGGGGUUACCCGCAGAAGAAGCACCGGCUAACUCCGUGCCAGCAGCCGCGGUAAUAC
rnacentral:rRNA from 1 species